UAGGGUAACUUGAGAUCCAUGGUGAACCGCUUAAGAGGAAGCCAUUACACGUUCGCCACAUCAACCUCGCCAAAGAUGCGGGCCUAUGCUCCCACUGCCGACUUCAGCAACGUCCAACACAGUGAGCUAAGGUGAUCAGCCUGCAAUAUUGACUGUUUAAGUGGGCAUAGGAUAGAGACAGCCUAGCUCUAAGUUGUUGAGGUGUUGAUUAACUUUUAAUUUGGGAAUGGAUUGAGCAGGGGAGUGAAAGGGGAUUUUGUACCUGUAUACGUGGCGAUGGGGAUGAUAGCGAUGUCAGUGACGCUUGGGCUUUGCACGGCGAUGCACGAGCUGAUGUAUUCCCCGGCGGUGCACUUAAGGAAGAGCAGGAGGGAGACUCUGCCGGAGGUGGAGGACCCUGAUACUGUAGUUGAUGAGGGUGACAAGUUCGUCAAAAAAUCCUUGCUUAGAAAGGUGGCCCACGUCCAGGAGCUUGAACUUGUCCCUCAUCCCAUCGAAGACCCUCUCACACGGUGACUACAUUAUCCAUUUUCUUAAUUAAUUUCCUUGCUUUUUUUAUUAGGCAUUCUUUGUUUAUUUAUAUUUACACAGAGGCAGGGUUAGCAAACAAUAUCUUGACCCUUCCUACUAAUACUCUGAAUUAAUUGUGCAGGCCGCCACGCGCAGUGACACUCAAGUCAGUGGGCAUAGAUCCAAAAAGCCACUAAGUGCUCCUGGAGCAGGGGACUAUUCAUUUGGCUUGUAAUACAAUGUAUGGCUCCUCAUGACAACAUAUGACAUGAGGAUUCGUCUGCGUCUGUAAACUACUGUGAUUAUAUCGGUAAUAAUAAGAGUGUUGCUUCUGUGC
rnacentral:lncRNA from 1 species